CGGUCUGUCAAGUCGGAUGUGAAAUCCCCGGGCUCAACCUGGGAACUGCAUUCGAAACUGGCAGGCUAGAGUCUUGUAGAGGGGGGUAGAAUUCCAGGUGUAGCGGUGAAAUGCGUAGAGAUCUGGAGGAAUACCGGUGGCGAAGGCGGCCCCCUGGACAAAGACUGACGCUCAGGUGCGAAAGCGUGGGGAGCAAACAGGAUUAGAUACCCUGGUAGUCCACGCCGUAAACGAUGUCGACUUGGAGGUUGUGCCCUUGAGGCGUGGCUUCCGGAGCUAACGCGUUAAGUCGACCGCCUGGGGAGUACGGCCGCAAGGUUAAAACUCAAAUGAAUUGACGGGGGCCCGCACAAGCGGUGGAGCAUGUGGUUUAAUUCGAUGCAACGCGAAGAACCUUACCUACUCUUGACAUCCAGAGAACUUUGCAGAGAUGGAUUGGUGCCUUCGGGAACUCUGAGACAGGUGCUGCAUGGCUGUCGUCAGCUCGUGUUGUGAAAUGUUGGGUUAAGUCCCGCAACGAGCGCAACCCUUAUCCUUUGUUGCCAGCGGUCAGGCCGGGAACUCAAAGGAGACUGCCAGUGAUAAACUGGAGGAAGGUGGGGAUGAC
rnacentral:rRNA from 1 species